rnacentral:rRNA from 1 species
ACGCUGGCGGCAGGCCUAACACAUGCAAGUCGAACGGUAACAGGAAUCAGCUUGCUGAUUCGCUGACGAGUGGCGGACGGGUGAGUAAUGUCUGGGAAACUGCCUGAUGGAGGGGGAUAACUACUGGAAACGGUAGCUAAUACCGCAUAACGUCGCAAGACCAAAGAGGGGGACCUUCGGGCCUCUUGCCAUCGGAUGUGCCCAGAUGGGAUUAGCUAGUAGGUGGGGUAAAGGCUCACCUAGGCGACGAUCCCUAGCUGGUCUGAGAGGAUGACCAGCCACACUGGAACUGAGACACGGUCCAGACUCCUACGGGAGGCAGCAGUGGGGAAUAUUGCACAAUGGGCGCAAGCCUGAUGCAGCCAUGCCGCGUGUAUGAAGAAGGCCUUCGGGUUGUAAAGUACUUUCAGCGGGGAGGAAGGGAGUAAAGUUAAUACCUUUGCUCAUUGACGUUACCCGCAGAAGAAGCACCGGCUAACUCCGUGCCCAGCAGCCGCGGUAAUACGGAGGGUGCAAGCGUUAAUCGGAAUUACUGGGCGUAAAGCGCACGCAGGCGGUUUGUUAAGUCAGAUGUGAAAUCCCCGGGCUCAACCUGGGAACUGCAUCUGAUACUGGCAAGCUUUGAGUCUCGUAGAGGGGGGUAGAAUUCCAGGUGUAGCGGUGAAAAUGCGUAGAGAUCUGGAGGAAUACCGGUGGCGAAGGCGGCCCCCUGGACGAAGACUGACGCUCAGGUGCGAAAGCGUGGGGAGCAAACAGGAUUAGAUACCCUGGUAGUCCACGCCGUAAACGAUGUCGACUUGGAGGUUGUGCCCUUGAGGCGUGGCUUCCGGAGCUAACGCGUUAAGUCGACCGCCUGGGGAGUACGGCCGCAAGGUUAAAACUCAAAUGAAUUGACGGGGGCCCGCACAAGCGGUGGAGCAUGUGGUUUAAUUCGAUGCAACGCGAAGAACCUUACCUGGUCUUGACAUCCACGGAAGUUUUCAGAGAUGAGAAUGUGCCUUCGGGAACCGUGAGACAGGUGCUGCAUGGCUGUCGUCAGCUCGUGUUGUGAAAUGUUGGGUUAAGUCCCGCAACGAGCGCAACCCUUAUCCUUUGUUGCCAGCGGUCCGGCCGGGAACUCAAAGGAGACUGCCAGUGAUAAACUGGAGGAAGGUGGGGAUGACGUCAAGUCAUCAUGGCCCUUACGACCAGGGCUACACACGUGCUACAAUGGCGCAUACAAAGAGAAGCGACCUCGCGAGAGCAAGCGGACCUCAUAAAGUGCGUCGUAGUCCGGAUUGGAGUCUGCAACUCGACUCCAUGAAGUCGGAAUCGCUAGUAAUCGUGGAUCAGAAUGCCACGGUGAAUACGUUCCCGGGCCUUGUACACACCGCCCGUCACACCAUGGGAGUGGGUUGCAAAAGAAGUAGGUAGCUUAACCUUCGGGAGGGCGCUUACCACUUUGUGAUU